UGGGGAAUAUUGGACAAUGGGGGGAACCCUGAUCCAGCCAUGCCGCGUGUGUGAAGAAGGCCUUAUGGUUGUAAAGCACUUUAAGCGAGGAGGAGGCUCUUUUGGUUAAUACCCAAGAUGAGUGGACGUUACUCGCAGAAUAAGCACCGGCUAACUCUGUGCCAGCAGCCGCGGUAAUACAGAGGGUGCGAGCGUUAAUCGGAUUUACUGGGCGUAAAGCGUGCGUAGGCGGCUUUUUAAGUCGGAUGUGAAAUCCCCGAGCUUAACUUGGGAAUUGCAUUCGAUACUGGUUAGCUAGAGUGUGGGAGAGGAUGGUAGAAUUCCAGGUGUAGCGGUGAAAUGCGUAGAGUUCUGGAGGAAUACCGAUGGCGAAGGCAGCCAUCUGGCCUAACACUGACGCUGAGGUACGAAAGCAUGGGGAGCAAACAGG
rnacentral:rRNA from 1 species